rnacentral:misc_RNA from 1 species
GAUGAAGAACGCAGCGAAAUGCGAUAAGUAAUGCGAAUUGCAGAAUUUCCGUGAGUCAUCGAAUCUUUGAACGCACAUUGCGCCCACUGGUAUUCCGGUGGGCAUGCCUGUUCGAGCGUCAUUUGUACCCUCAAGCUUUGCUUGGUGUUGGGUGUUUGUCCCGCGUUGCGCGUGGACUCGCCUUAAAGCGAUUGGCAGCCGGCAUAUUGGCCUUGGAGCGCAGCACAUUUUGCGCUUCUAGUCAUGAAUGUUGGCGUCCAUUAAGCCUAUACAUUUGCUCUUGACCUCGGAUCAGGUAGGGAUACCCGCUGAACUUAAGCAUAUCAAUAAGCGGAGGA